rnacentral:rRNA from 1 species
AAUUUAAACCUCUUCCAGAGUAUCAAUUGGAGGGCAAGUCUGGUGCCAGCAGCCGCGGUAAUUCCAGCUCCAAUAGCGUAUAUUAAAAUUGUUGCAGUUAAAAAGCUCGUAGUUGAAUUUCUGCUGCAUUGCUUUUGCUCCUUUACGAGUCUUUGCAUUGUGGCUUAUUUCGGACUUUGUUUUACAAUGUCCGGAUGUUUACUUUGAGAAAAUUAGAGUGCUCAAAGCAGGCUUUCGCCUUGAAUAGUUUAGCAUGGAAUAAUAAAGUAGGACUUUGGUUCUAUUUUGUUGGUUUUAGGUACCAAAGUAAUGGUUAAUAGGAACAGUUGGGGGCAUUCGUAUUUAACUGUCAGAGGUGAAAUUCUUAGA